ensembl:lncRNA
CCCCCGCACGCUGCUCAUUCACUCCAGGAGCUGUCACCCUGUCUCUCUCUCUCCUCCUCUCUCUCUCUCAAACUGACACACACCAAGUAGCUCGAGCCCCAGUGGAGACGCUGCUGACGCUCUGCUCGCUCCACCGACAACACCGAGUCACGUUCUGUUCUUUUCUCGCUCCACCGACAACACCGAGUCACGUUCUGUUCUUCUCUCGCUCCACAGACAACACCAAGUCACGGUAUGUUCUUCUCUGGCAGAACCGGAGAGCGAAAGCCCUUUAGGAUUCUAUCUAUCGCGUGUGAUAUUUGGAGCUGAACGACCGGUCGUGACGGAGGACGCGAGGGGAAAUACAAAAAAAGAGCGAAAGGGAGAAAAGAAAAGAGGCCCUCUCUCAACACAGACCUGGGGGGGUUCAUCCUGUGCUCCUAAUCAGGGAUUCAGACCGUGGACACCAGGGUGAGCCAAGACUGAUCCAUGGAGAACAG